rnacentral:rRNA from 1 species
CAUUAAAAAAAGAGAAACGUCCCGUUCUUUUUCAUAAGAAUGGGUUCUAUUCCCUUAAACCGUGUCUACAUACCUUUGUUGCUUUGGCAGGCCGCCUUCGGGCGUCGGCUCCGGCUGAUAGUGCCUGCCAGAGGACCCAAACUCUAUGUUUAGUGAUGUCUGAGUACUAUAUAAUAUUUAAAACUUUCAACAACGGAUCUCUUGGUUCUGGCAUCGAUGAAGAACGCAGCGAAAUGCGAUAAGUAAUGUGAAUUGCAGAAUUCAGUGAAUCAUCGAAUCUUUGAACGCACAUUGCGCCCCUUGGUAUUCCGAGGGGCAUGCCUGUUCGAGCGUCAUUAUAACCACUCAAGCCUGGCUUGGUAUUGGGGUUUUCGCGUGUUCGCGGCCCUUAAAAUCAGUGGCGGUGCCGUCUGGCUCUAAGCGUAGUAAUUUCUCUCGCUAUAGGGUUCCGGUGGUUACUUGCCAAAACCCCCCAUUUUUUCUAGGUUGACCUCGGAUCAGG